UACGUAGGGUGCGAGCGUUGUCCGGAAUUAUUGGGCGUAAAGAGCUUGUAGGCGGUUUGUCGCGUCUGCCGUGAAAAUCCGGGGCUCAACCCCGGACUUGCGGUGGGUACGGGCAGACUAGAGUGUGGUAGGGGAGACUGGAAUUCCUGGUGUAGCGGUGAAAUGCGCAGAUAUCAGGAAGAACACCUAUGGCGAAGGCAGCUCUCUGGAACGGUACUGACGCUGAGACGCGAAAGCGUGGGGAGCGAACAGG
rnacentral:rRNA from 1 species